UACGGGGGGGGCAAGCGUUGUUCGGAAUUACUGGGCGUAAAGGGUUGGUAGGUGGCCGAUUAAGUCAGACGUGAAAUCCCUCAGCUUAACUGGGGAACUGCGUCUGAUACUGGUUGGCUUGAGUGCAGGAGAGGAAUGCGGAAUUCCAGGUGUAGCGGUGAAAUGCGUAGAUAUCUGGAGGAACACCGGUGGCGAAGGCGGCGUUCUGGACUGCAACUGACACUGAACAACGAAAGCCAGGGGAGCAAACGGG
rnacentral:rRNA from 1 species